CCGGCAUACACAAAGGCCCGGGGGUGGCCGAGCCUGACGUGGUCUGUGGAAGGACAGCACCCACAGAUGAGGAGCUCUUGUCACUCCACACACGGACUUCACCUUGAUAUCUAGAGACAUAUGCACUAGCAGGGAGCUGAAUGGAAAUCUGGGUUGCAGGCUGCGGCCCAACCUGGUAUACCACAGUGCUGGCUCCUUAUACUCAUUAUCUGUUAAGUACCAGAAUGGAAGGCAUUUAUAAGGAUCUAUCAAUGACACUCUUGAAUUUCAUCAUUCAGGAAUAUGCUCCCUUUGUAAAUGUCAAAGAACCUAGCAGAUGUGUGGUAAGUUUUGAAAGAG